AGUACAUGCAGACAAAUAUUUGAUUGGCCAGCUUCCUCACUAUUUGAGGUUUUACUAAAAUAUGCAGUACAUGCGGACAAAUAUUUGAUUGGCCAGCUUCUCACUAUUUGAGGAGAGUACCUUCAGCCAUCAAGACUAUCUCGGAUGACAACACCGACAAUUCAGGCAACAACACUUGCCUUUUCAGCGCAAUUCCAUCUUAGAAGAAGUUGUGUGGCAAGCAGAACAAACUAGGAAAACGGUUUUCUGUGAAGAUUAUGUUCUUCCUGAUAUGAUUUUAUUUUGCCAUAGCGCUGCUCUGUCGCCAGACAAAUAGGUCAGUGGGACAUACUGUUGGCUUUUCAUUCUACUCCAAAAGAUGGUGUAUAAAAGUGAUAUUGUUUACAUA